rnacentral:piRNA from 1 species
UGAUGGGAUGGGCUGGCACGUGGCUGG